AGUGAACGCUGGCGGUAGGCCUAACACAUGCAAGUCGAACGGCAGCACAGUAAGAGCUUGCUCUUACGGGUGGCGAGUGGCGGACGGGUGAGGAAUACAUCGGAAUCUACUUUUUCGUGGGGGAUAACGUAGGGAAACUUACGCUAAUACCGCAUACGACCUACGGGUGAAAGCAGGGGAUCUUCGGACCUUGCGCGAUUGAAUGAGCCGAUGCCGGAUUAGCUAGUUGGCGGGGUAAAGGCCCACCAAGGCGACGAUCCGUAGCUGGUCUGAGAGGAUGAUCAGCCACACUGGAACUGAGACACGGUCCAGACUCCUACGGGAGGCAGCAGUGGGGAAUAUUGGGCAAUGGGCGCAAGCCUGAUCCAGCCAUACCGCGUGGGUGAAGAAGGCCUUCGGGUUGUAAAGCCCUUUUGUUGGGAAAGAAAAGCAGCAGGUUAAUACCCCGCUGUUCUGACGGUACCCAAAGAAUAAGCACCGGCUAACUUCGUG
rnacentral:rRNA from 1 species